rnacentral:misc_RNA from 1 species
CCGAGUGAGGGUUUCGGCCCAACCUCCAACCCAUUGUAGACCAACACCUGUUGCCUCGGGGGCGACCUGGACGUGGACUCCGCGCCGGGCCCUCAGGGGACCACUUAACUCUGUAUCUUUGCGUCGGAGUACUUUGAGAAUGAAUCA